rnacentral:rRNA from 1 species
UACGAAGGGGGCUAGCGUUGCUCGGAAUCACUGGGCGUAAAGGGUGCGUAGGCGGCUUUCUAAGUCAGGGGUGAAAUCCUGGAGCUCAACUCCAGAACUGCCUUCGAUACUGCGGGUCUCGAGUCCGGGAGAGGUGAGUGGAAUUCCUAGUGUAGAGGUGAAAUUCGUAGAUAUUAGGAAGAACACCAGUGGCGAAGGCGGCUCACUGGCCCGGUACUGACGCUGAGGCGCGAAAGCGUGGGGAGCAAACAGG